UGGGGAAUAUUGCACAAUGGGCGAAAGCCUGAUGCAGCGACGCCGCGUGAGGGAUGACGGCCUUCGGGUUGUAAACCUCUUUCAGCAGGGAAGAAGCGAAAGUACGGUACCUGCAGAAGAAGCGCCGGCUAACUACGUGCCAGCAGCCGCGGUAAUACGUAGGGCGCAAGCGUUGUCCGGAAUUAUUGGGCGUAAAGAGCUCGUAGGCGGUUAGUCGCGUCUGCUGUGAAAACCUCGAGGCUCAACCUCGGGGCUUGCAGUGGGUACGGGCAUGACUAGAUGCGGUAGGGGUGACUGGAAUUCCUGGUGUAGCGGUGGAAUGCGCAGAUAUCAGGAGGAACACCGAUGGCGAAGGCAGGUCACUGGGCCGCAACUGACGCUGAGGAGCGAAA
rnacentral:rRNA from 1 species